rnacentral:lncRNA from 1 species
GAGUAGCUGGGACCACAGUCAGUAUUACAAAGGGAUUGAACAAUUUGGAAGAGUUGGGACUGCUAAAAUAUUUCAGGGAGCAUGCAAUGCAUUCUUGCAAUAAGAGGCAAAACAUCACACAAUGUCAAGAGAAUGCCCCUCUCUAUUUUGUGAAAGGCAAGUUCAAAGAUUUUCUGAAUAAUCACCAAGGAUACCUAGCAAUUAUGAUACGGUUUCUUUUCAGGGGCAAAAGCAACAAGCCUUGUGCCAUGGAUAUAUUUGUAGCUAAUUAUUUGUUACAUAACAUGAUAUGAUAUAAAUCAGAUUGGGGUAUAAAAUUUUCACAGAAUGUAUUCAGAAAGGCCCACUCUUAUACAUUCAGGGCUUUGGUGCCCCAUAUUGUUGAAAGGUUGCAGGGAAUUGACUCAUUAACUGAAUACCACUUCACCCCAUGGGUCAGUUGACUUUAGUGGAUUACGAACAACUUGAGAAUUAAUCACAGUAAACAAAGUGAGUGGAAUUUUCACUCCCCUUGACUCUACUUUCAUGGUUCUUUGCCCUCUGUUAUUAGGUAUUGUGUGGGUUUUAUUCAAAGUUGUAUAUGUGUCAACCUCCCCCUCAGGAUCAUACAAAAUCAGGGACGAUGUUCUACCAGUAUUUUCUUUAUCAGAGGCUUUUGUAUGUUACCUUGUACAGACAGUCGUUGACUUAUCAUGGUUCGAUUUAAAUUUUUCAGCUUUACAGUGCUGUGAAAGCAAUACAUGUAAGUAGAAACUGUACUUCAGGGACCCAUACAACCAUUCAGUUUUUCAUUUUCAGUAUAGUAUUCAAAAAAUUACAUGAGAUAUUCAAUACUUUAUCACAAAAUAGGUUUUGUGUUAGAUGAUUUUUCCAACCAUAGGCUAAUAUAAAUGUUCUGCACAUGUUUAGGGUAGGCUAGGCUAAGCUAUGAUGUUUGGUAGGUUAGGUGUAUUAAAUGCAUUUUCAACUUACGGCAUUUUCAAUGUAUGAUGGGUUUAUCAGAAGGUAACCACAUCAUAAGUGGAAGAGCACCUGUACAUACAAAUGCCUCAAUAAAUGUUUAUUGGAUUAAUUGAUUGGGGGUUGAAAGAUAUGAAGGAGUCAAGAAUGAUUACAUUUCAGGCAAAAUACAUUGACUGGGCAAUUGACACAAAGAUGGGGUAAGAUAAAUGCAUUCUGGUACCAUUUAGAGCAGAUUUAAUAUCAUUCACAUUAUUUAGGAGCAAGUGAAAAUGGCCCUUUGGUGUCCUUUUACCCUUCCCUCUCUUGUUCUCUUCAUCUUUAAGCUUUGUACUCGUGGAAAUAAUUGACUAUUGAGUUUCUGAGGCUGCAGGAAAUGCUUAGAAAUGACUGAACCCGUAAUCCAAGUGAGCCGAGAGACCUUUGGAAGAAAUAUUUUUUACUCAUUUUUUUUUGAGACAGGGUCUCGCUCUAUUGUGCAGGCUGGAGUGCAGUGGCACAAUCAGGGCUCAUGGCAGCCUCUUCCUCCUGGACUCAAGUGAUCCUCCAAUCUCAGCCUCCUGAGUAGCUAAGACUUACAGGCAAGCACCACCACGCCUGGCUGAUUUUUACUUCUUUAUUUUCUGUACAGAUAGGGUCUUCCUAAGUUGCCCAGACCGGUCUCAAACUCCUGAGCUCAGUCAAUCCUCCCACCUCGGCCUCCUAAAGUGCUGGGAUAAUAGGCAUGAGCCACUGUGACAGACCUAUCCAUGCUUUUUUUUUUUUUUAAGUUAUUUUUUACUUAAUCGUAGCUACUAAACUGUUUCGGAAAAGUUUGAGCCGUAUUUCUACGAGAACAGCAACCUGCUAAAAGCAUUGCCAGAAAGUCAGACCCCUUCCCCACCCCUGCCCAAACCCCCCGCUCCCCCCUGGGCCCCAGGUCCUUAGGGGUCUUGCUAGUGUCAGCCCUGGCCCCUCACCUUGUUUCUGUGUGGAGUUAAGGAAUGUUUCCUGAAAGAAGAUGUAAAUAAUUAGGGAGAUUCUUCCUUCUCUUUCCACCUAUUCCUCCUUACCCCAGACAAUCCACUAACACCUUCUAGAGCAACAGAAAUUUAAAAUUAACAACUGACGCCAACUUCAUGGAGUCACAGGCCAAAAUUUCAUGCAUAAAAACAAUACAUCAAGUUCCCAGAGCACUUCCAGAUAAUUAUUAGAAAAAUGUUUCCUUUACCUUAUUACUAGGACCACUCAGUCCCUAUAAAUAGGAUUCCAUUCAAAAAAAAUCACUGAAAGGCAGGCGCAGUAGUGUGCACCUGUAGUCUGAGCUACUAGAGAGGCUGAGGCAGGAGGAUUGCUUGAGGCCAGGAGUUCUAGACUGUCCUGUGCUAUGAUCAUGCCACUGGACUCCAGGUUGGGAGACAUAGGGAGGCGUGUCUUUAACCAAACAAACAAGCAAAAACAAUCAUCAUUUCCAAGUAGGAAGUGUAAUGUGAGCUGUAGUGCCCUGCCUAGGUCCCUAGCAUCAUUUCAGGACUAAGGGACUCAUUCCACAGCUGCUGGGAAUGCUGGUACUGACAAUUUCCACCUGAGAGAGUGAGAGCCCUAGAAAGCCCAACCCCAAAGGCCACAUUUUCUUUCCACCACUCUGGGGCAUUGAACCACUCAGUGUAUAAAGGACUAGACACCCCCACCUCCAAUUUUGGACUACUUGAAAGGGCCAACCCAGACAAGUCUGGGGUACUUGCACAGCUCCCUUUCUCUGAUACCCACCCACCUUUCUAUCCACAGGGCUUGGCUCAAGCCAUGUUUGUAUCACAUGACUUCUCCCCUGGCCAGGUCACAUGGUGCAACUGGGCCAAUCCAAUGCUUUCUUCUGGGAAUCUGGAAAAAGGCUUGAGAAAGUUAAUCUCUGCCUGAUACAUGUGGCGAGUGUGAGGGGCCUCAGCCUGCCUAGUGGACUUGAGAAGGAGCAAAACAUGGUCCCAGAAGACAAAAAUGAAGGUAUUGUGAAAGAAGCCAAGAUGAGAGAAGAACCAACUACAUAAUUUGUUACAUCCAAUGCAAAAUGAAAGGCAGAGCCCCUUGUUCAAAAAGCAGGACAAAAGUACUUUUAAGGAACUAAAAUAUAAAGCUCUUUCCUUUCUUCCAUGGUCUUUCAGUUUGUUCUGGUGUGUUUUAUUUGCUAUUUGAUGCUAUUCCAGGUAAAGAAAAAUUGAAAUUCGAUUUUCAGCAAGAAACGGGGUCUUGCUGUAUCACCCAGGAUGAUCUCGAACUCCUGUUCUCAAGCGAUCCUUCUGCCUCGGCCUCGGGAAGUGCUGGGAUUACAGGCGUGAGCCACUGCGCCUGGCCUAAAAAAAAUUUUUUUAAUUAAAAUUAUUAGUAUACAUUUUACCAUUUGUCUUGUGCAAAGUCAAUCUUUCUUCUUUCUUCCAGGGGGGACGCUUGAAUUG